UUAGUCAAUUUCUGAUUUGAUUAGGAUUUUAUUGAGCCUAAUUAAGCCUAAUUAAGUUGGAUUUAAAUUAGUCUAAUUGGACUUAACUUAUUUGGUUCAAUUAGGUUGGUUUAAAUAAUUAAACCACCUUGACCCAAUCUCCAUGCGCCACCUCACUUCUAUUGCACCCAUUUGAAUUCAUGAGAAGGAACUUCUCAUGAUUUUUUUCCUCACGCCA
rnacentral:lncRNA from 1 species